AGGGCGUACGGUGGAUGCCUUGGCGAUAUCAGCCGAAGAAGGACGCGGUAAGCUGCGAUAAGCUACGGAGAGGUGCAAGCAACCUGUGACCCGUAGAUAUCCGAAUGGGGGAACCCGGCAGUGGUUAUGCACUGUCACCCAUAGCAUAGACUAUGAGGAGGGCACCCGGGGAACUGAAACAUCUAAUUACCCGGAGGAACAGUAAUCAAACGAGAUUUUCUUAGUAGCGGCGAGCGAACGGGAAAGAGGCCAAACCGGAGCGGGCAACCGCACCGGGGUUGAGGACAGUCAUCAAGUGUAAAUGAGGUAGAAGAAUCGAGCUGGAAAGCUCAGCCGUAGAAGGUGAAAGCCCUGUAAUCGAAACCUUGCAUACAUGGGACUGUAUCCAGAGUACCACGAGACACGUGAAACCUUGUGGGAAGCAGGGGGGACCACCCUCCAAGCCAAAAUACUGAUAUCGACCGAUAGCGCAUAGUACCGUGAGGGAAAGGUGAAAAGAACCCCUGGCGGGGAGUGAAAGAGAACCUGAAACCGUAUGUCUACAAACAGUCGAAGUCUGUAUAUAUAUCAGGACGACGGCGUGCCUAUUGAAGAAUGAACCGACGAGUUACUGUUGCUAGCGAGGUUAAGUGGAACACAUGGAGCCGCAGCGAAAGCGAGUCUGAACAGGGCGUUCAGUUAGUAAUAGUAGACCCGAAACCGUAGUGAUCUAUCCAUGGCCAGGUUGAAGCACAGGUAAAAUUGUGUGGAGGACCGAACUCGUGAGCGUUGAAAAGCUUUGGGAUGAGUUGUGGAUAGGGGUGAAAUGCCAAUCGAACACGGAGAUAGCUGGUUCUCCCCGAAAUAGCUUUAGGGCUAGCCUCGAGGUAGAGAGUAUAGGCGGUAGAGCACUGAUCGGGCUAGGGGCCAUACCGGUUACCGAACCUAGUCAAACUACGAAUGGCUAUACUUAUACUCGGGAGUCAGACAGUGAAUGAUAAGGUCCAUUGUCAAGAGGGAAACAGCCCAGAACACCGACUAAGGUCCCCAAUGUUACACUAAGUGGCGAAGGAUGUGGAAUUUCCAAAACAACCAGGAUGUUGGCUUAGAAGCAGCCACCAUUUAAAGAGUGCGUAAUAGCUCACUGGUCGAGAGACUCUGCGCCGAAAAUGUCCGGGGCUAAAGUGUAAAACCGAAGUCGUGUCAUAUGCAGCAAUGUAUAUGGGUAGGGGAGCGUUCUCAUCGGGCUGAAGCAGUACCGUAAGGAGUUGUGGACUGAUGAGAAGUGAGAAUGUCGGUAUGAGUAGCGAAAAGAAUGGUGAGAAUCCAUUCCACCGAAAGCCUAAGGGUUCCUGAGCAACGAUCGUCGUCUCAGGGUAAGUCGGGACCUAAGCCGAGGCGGAAAAGCGUAGGCGAUGGACAACAGGUUGAAAUUCCUGUACCGGUGUGAAUCGUUUGAUCGAUGGAGUGACACAGUAAGGUAGGUCAGCACGCGAUUGGAAGUGCGUGUUUAAGCAGGUAGGUUGAGCUAUAGGCAAAUCCGUAGCUCUAAAAGCUGAGAUGUGAUGACGAGUGACUAGCAAUAGUCGCGAAGUGAUUGAUCCUACACUGUCGAGAAAAGCUUCUAGGUAGAGACACAUCGCCCGUACCAAAACCGACACAGGUAGGCGGGGAGAGAAUCCUAAGGUGCGCGGGAAAACCCUCGUUAAGGAACUCGGCAAAAUGCCUCCGUAACUUCGGGAAAAGGAGGACUCAUGUAGUGUGAAGAGCAGAAGCGCUUGGAGCAUGAAUGAGUGGCACAAGAGAGGCGCAAGCGACUGUUUACCACAAACACAGGUGCCUGCUAAAGCGAAAGCUGAUGUAUAGGUGCUGACACCUGCCCGGUGCUGGAAGGUUAAGAGGAGGGGUUAGACUUCGGUCGAAGCUCUGAAUUGAAGCCCCAGUAAACGGCGGCCGUAACUAUAACGGUCCUAAGGUAGCGAAAUUCCUUGUCGGGUAAGUUCCGACCCGCACGAAAGGUGUAACGACUUGCGCACUGUCUCAACGAGGGACCCGGUGAAAUUGAAGUACCUGUGAAGAUGCAGGUUACCCGCGACUGGACAGAAAGACCCCAUGGAGCUUUACUGCAACCUAAGAUUGAACUUAGUUAAUGAAUGUACAGGAUAGGUGGGAGACGUAGAACCUAGGACGCUAGUUUUAGGGGAGUCGCUGUUGGGAUACCACCCUUUCAUUAAUUGAUUUCUAACGGGCCGAGUAACGACCGGCCGGACAGUCUUAGGCGGGCAGUUUGACUGGGGCGGUCGCCUCCUAAAGAGUAACGGAGGCGCCCAAAGGUUCCCUCAGAGCGGACGGAAAUCGCUCG
rnacentral:rRNA from 1 species